rnacentral:rRNA from 1 species
GCGUAAGCGCGCGCAGGUGGUUUCUUAAGUCUGAUGUGAAAGCCCACGGCUCAACCGUGGAGGGUCAUUGGAAACUGGGAGACUUGAGUGCAGAAGAGGAAAGUGGAAUUCCAUGUGUAGCGGUGAAAUGCGUAGAGAUAUGGAGGAACACCAGUGGCGAAGGCGACUUUCUGGUCUGUAACUGACACUGAGGCGCGAAAGCGUGGGGAGCAAACAGGAUUAGAUACCCUGGUAGUCCACGCCGUAAACGAUGAGUGCUAAGUGUUAGAGGGUUUCCGCCCUUUAGUGCUGAAGUUAACGCAUUAAGCACUCCGCCUGGGGAGUACGGCCGCAAGGCUGAAACUCAAAGGAAUUGACGGGGGCCCGCACAAGCGGUGGAGCAUGUGGUUUAAUUCGAAUCAACGCGAAGAACCUUACCAGGUCUUGACCUCCUCUGAAGACCCGAGAGAUAGGGCUUCUCCUU